CUAUAUGAUACUGCUGAGCAAGAAGCAAUGAGAGUCUUCCCAGGACCUCUCAUCAGGGAGGACCUGCACAAGGUGGAUGUGAUGACUUAUUGUCAACGCAGAGCAGCCACGGGAUAUGACCUGCCAUCCAACCGAAACAGAGAUUCUGCCUUGCUUUGGAAACUUCUUCUCCUCCUGUGCCGGCAGAAUGGGUCCAUGGUGGGGUCAGAUACAGCCGAG